GGAGCGUUGGCAGAGAGGUAAUGCGGCGGAUUGCUAAUCCGUAGGGCCUUGACGAGGUCCCGUCGGUUCGAUUCCGACACGCUCCGCCA
rnacentral:tRNA from 1 species